AUACCCUGGUAGUNCACGCUGUAANCGAUNGAACCCAGNNGUCUGCCAGCAUNNUNGUAGGUGGCGCAGCUAACGCAUUAAGNUNCCCNCCUGGGGAGUACGGUCGCAAGAUUAAAACUCAANGGAAUUGACGGGGGCCCGCACAAGCGGUGGAGCAUGUNGUUUAUUUCGACGCAACGCGAAGAACCUUACCAAGGCUUGACAUGCAGGGAAAAGCGGCGGAAACGUCGUGUCCGCAAGGGCCCUGCACAGGUGGUGCAUGGCUGUCGUCAGCUCGUGUCGUGAGAUGUUGGGUUAAGUCCCGCAACGAGCGCAACCCUUACCCGUAGUUGCCAGCGCGUCAUGGCGGGAACUCUACGGGGACUGCCCGGGUUAACCGGGAGGAAGGUGGGGAUGAUGUCAAGUCCUCAUGGCCCUUAUGUCCAGGGCUACACACGUGCUACAAUGGGCGAUACAAACCGUUGCAAAGUCGCGAGAUGGAGCUAAUCGGAGAAAGUCGUCCUCAGUUCGGAUUGCAGUCUGCAACUCGACUACAUGAAGGUGGAAUCGCUAGUAAUCGUGUAUCAGAANNAUACG
rnacentral:rRNA from 1 species